UACAGAGACCUCAAGCGUUAUCCGGAUUCAUUGGGCGUAAAGCGUCCGCAGGUGGUCUUAUAAGUUGGUGGUUAAAUCCUGAGGCUUAACUUCAGGACUGCUGUCAAAACUGUAAGACUUGAGGGUGGGAGAGGUAAUCGGAACUGCCGGUGUAGUCGUAAUAAGCGCUGAUAUCGGCAGGAACACCAAAGGCGAAGGCAGAUUACUGGAACACACCUGACACUCAUGGACGAAAGCGUGGGGAGCGAAUAGG
rnacentral:rRNA from 1 species